rnacentral:rRNA from 1 species
CCAGGAAUCUUGGGCAAUGGGCGAAAGCCUGACCCAGCAACACCGUGUGGGUGAUGAAGGCCUUCGGGUCGUAAAGCCCUGUUGAUAGGGACGAAGGGCGAAGGGUUAAUAGCCCCUAGCUUGACGGUACCUUUCGAGGAAGCCCCGGCUAACUACUUGCCAGCAGCCGCGGUAAUACGUAGGGGGCGAGCGUUGUCCGGAAUUAUUGGGCGUAAAGAGCGUGUAGGCGGUUCGGUAAGUCUGUCGUGAAAUCCUGGGGCUCAACCUCGGGCGUGCGAUGGAUACUGCCGGGCUAGAGGGUGGUAGAGGCGAGUGGAAUUCCCGGUGUAGCGGUGAAAUGCGCAGAUAUCGGGAGGAACACCAGUAGCGAAGGCGGCUCGCUGGGCCACACCUGACGCUGAGACGCGAAAGCUAGGGGAGCGAACAGG